GCAGGCUCCAGGCUCUGAGCUGUCAGCACAGAGCCCGAUGCGGGGCUCGAACUCACAGACUGUGAGAUCGUGACCUGAGCUGAAGUCGGAUGCUUAACCCACUGAGCCACCCAGGCGCCCCGAAAUGUGCACACUGGAUUGAAGACUCACUACAAAAAAAGAAGGUAAGAAACACUAAGUCAACUGGAGAAACAUAUGUGGCCUUGAGCUAUGGGACAUUACUUCCCUUUAACACCGCUACUGAGAAAUGUUGAACCUCACUUUGGUGUAGUCAGUGUUGGUCUUCGACAGUGAAUGGAUACACCGCCAGGUCUGUUGUGGCGCUCAAGAUUCUGCAUUUCUAGCAAGCUCCAGCCAAUGCUGAUACUGCUAAUGUUGGGACCACGCUUUGAAUAAGAGAGCAUGAACGGGGGAGGGUCAGAGAGAGGGAGACACAGAAUCUGAA